rnacentral:rRNA from 1 species
UACGUAGGGUGCGAGCGUUAAUCGGAAUUACUGGGCGUAAAGCGUGCGCAGGCGGUUCGUUAAGUCAGAUGUGAAAGCCCCCGGGCUCAACCUGGGAACUGCAUUUGAAACUGGCGGGCUUGAGUGUGGCAGAGGGGGGUGGAAUUCCGCGUGUAGCAGUGAAAUGCGUAGAGAUGCGGAGGAACACCGAUGGCGAAGGCAGCCCCCUGGGCCAACACUGACGCUCAGGCACGAAAGCGUGGGGAGCAAACAGG